rnacentral:sRNA from 1 species
GCUCACCCAGUGGAAAUCUCGAUCCAAAGAAGCAGCCGACAUAGAAGCAGCCCAAUUAUGCCACUCUCCUCUGUAUGUACAUCACAGUAUCGUGUGGACUGUACCAGUGGCUGUCCACCGUGUUGUGGCAACACCAGCCUCGACGUCAUCCCGCUGUCUCACAAGCUUCGUUCGAUCCUAGACUUCUCCAUUAGUGUGUCAUUGGCCAUUGGCUAUUGCCCCAAACAUGUUUGAAAGCUGUCUGUGACAGCCUGCUGGAGCCUCCUGGAUUUCCAAUACUUCAAACAUAUGAAUUGGCUUCGUUUUCUCUAUCAAACGCUUCAAUAUUCAUUGCGCUCAUAUGAAUAUUGCAUUUUCAUUUGCUGCACAAUGUGAGAUGUGUGUCCAUCAAAAGCACAUCACACUGUUCCAACUGUAUCAUCUCCUUCCCAGAUCACAUAUAAAGACAAAAAACUACCCAAUUAUGCAAUUUUAAAAAAUAAAGAAUACAAGGCACAAAAAGAGAAAGAGAGUGGCAUAUACUCUGUCCAAAAAUCUACUCUUUUUGUUUCUCUUGAAAUGAUACUUGCAACCUCUUCCAUGCACUCAGCAGCUUUCGCGAUGUCGAUGACAACAAAUUCUCAUCCUCCCCCUUCCCUUUCUUCCGACAAGCCGCACACAUCCACUCAACUUCCCACUUCUCAAAUUGGAUCUUAGACGCCUCCUCUUCUGAAAACAAGUACUCCCUCUCCCAAAACUCAGCAAUCCGCGAAUCUCCAAUCUCAAUCCUAACAUCCGUCCCGAUACCAAGCUUUUGCUUCUGUCUCUGCACUUCCUGCUGCAUCCCCCCAGCACCACCACAACUGUUCACUCUCUCACACACAAAACACUUCUGCAAACUCUCCGCCCGAACCCAAAGCUUCGAAUGCCCACACUCAAACGACCGAAUCAAAUUCGGCAUCUCAUCCCAACCUUGACCCUCGCCUUCUCUACUCUCGCUUGGCCCCCCUGAGCAAGCUGGACACAGCCCCUGAAACUCCAGGACUGUGUCCUGCCAUUUGUCCAUUUCACAGCAGCGUGAGGGGCGAAAACCGGGCUCCGUGAGCAGUUUUAUGACGGCAUGGGUUGGGAGGGGGAUGCCGUUGGGCUCCUGGCAGUAGGUUAUGCCGUAUUUUAAGUGGCAGGGAAUCUUGUGGUUGCAGGCUGUGUAUUGUUCGUGAGAUGUGUAUUUGCACAUAUUUGUGGGGGGGGCCGUGCGCCCCUUCUUGGAUUGCUUUUUUGUUCUGAUUGAGUUUGAUUAGGGGGUGUCGCGUUGCUAACAGGUGGGUAUGAAGGAUAUAGGGGAGACAAGAGGUACAGAUUUAGGUGCGGAGUAUGCCACAGACGAAGCAGAGGCGGAUACGUAUCUGAACUGUCUGAGAAGAACUCAAGGAAUAAAGUUACAGAGUUUCACUUUUAUAUGUACAUGGAUGUUAUAUAC